UUUGUUGUGGGUGUUAUUAAUUUUUUUGGUUGUUUAAUUAUUAAUUUUCUAGAUUUCUAUGAUUCGGUGUUUGAUGUCUAUGAAUUUCAAGAUUUUAUUGUUUAAUUGUUUUUGAUUGGAUUCUGUAUGUUUAUUGAUUUUGUGUCUGAUGCCGUAUUAUUGGCUUUAAUUUAUUUAUGGGGUUGUUAUUCAGCGCCCUGCAAAUGCACAAAAACGCCCUAUUUUCACAACUCUUUCCUAUUUUACCCUUAUUCAUUUACCAUACCUUCUUUAUAAUUUUUUUUAUCUUACCUCUCUAUGUUCUUUUACCAUCUCUCUCACCCAACCAAACUACCCACCACCAUUUCAUCCAUAAUCACCGGAGCACCACCAUAGUUCAUGGAGUCCCCCAUGAAAUCCGACGAAAUUAUGUAUGACAAUGUGUCCGGCCUCCAUCAUCGGAUGACUAUUCUUCACUCAUUUACAAACCCAAUUACAAUUUUCUGGAGCAAGUUUGCAAAUUUUACAAGAAGAUUGUGCUUUUUUGCUUCACUAAAAGGAUCAAAUUGAUCAAUAUGAAGGAUUGGAGUAGCAAGUUAUGAUGCCACAAGAAAUAUGCUUGCAUUUAUGUGUAGCUGCCAAUGUUUGGGAAAAUAAAAUACAAGGUCGACGACUUGGAUAAACUUUUUUUUUCGGGAUCAAAAAGUUUUGGAGCUGCUAUUGGUGAUCAGGUGCUGAUGUUGCUUGGAGUUUCCGUUGAUGGUGAGCAGGGUGAGGUACGACUGUGGAAAAUGGAGCUUCGUUAGCUGUUGUUGCUAAUUAGAGUUGUUGUCUGCUUAUAGUUGUCUGCUGGAGCUAGCUGCUGCUAUUUCUGUUAUCAAUCUGUUUCUGUUUGCUUCUACUUAAUUGGACGUAGUGCUGCAGGCUGGUUAUUUAGGAAGUGUUUCUUUUUCUGUUUAGGAAUUUGAUGGUCUGGAGACCGAAGUUGAUUUUCUUUUUGUUCUGAUUAUUAGAUUGUUUAGUCAAACAAAAAAAAAUUGGUGUUUGUGGAUGCUUUUGUAAGAUGCUAUGAAAUUAUUUCAAUUUAAAUGAUUAUACAUUUUAGUUUUGGA